AAAAAGACCUGGGGCGAAGCGGCAAUGGACGGCCUGACUCGGUCCUCGGCGACAGACCGGCAUGCAAAAUCACCGGGGCCUUGAAUUCUGCGACGGCCAUGCUGAAGUCGAUGGUGGACGAGUCGCUCAUCCAAAGCACCCCUGAUAUCGAGUUGUCUGCCGUAGAAGACUAUUGUAACGCGGAGCUACCACCGCCGCUGAGUUGUAGCUCACCUUCACCAUCACCAUCACCAUCACCGUCCAGCCAAGGAAGCUCCAACACUUCACUUGCCAGACAAGGAAAAAGAAAAUGGGACAAGGACGACAGCGAAUUGUUGCAGUAUCUGGAGAGGUCUGACGAGCGCCACCUCCAAUCCCUGGAGGCCUCCAGAGUGGUGACCAACAAUUUACUGGAGCAGAUCAGCGCAAGCAACACCGCUUUGCUCGGGCUGAUGGGACGUGUUGUGACGGUGAUGGAGGCUGGGCGAAAAUGAAGACCAAAUUUACCCCAAAACCACAAAAGACAACACUGUUCCUCUUCUUUGUAAAUUGCACUUUUAUUUUAAUUUUGCACACGG
ensembl:lncRNA